UGGAUCCAGACUUUGAUUCUGGCUCAGGAUGAACGCUAGCUACAGGCUUAACACAUGCAAGUCGAGGGGCAGCGAUGAAGAAAGCUUGCUUUCUUCAGGCGGCGACCGGCGCACGGGUGAGUAACGCGUAUCGAACCUGCCUCAUACUCAGGAAUAGCCUUGCGAAAGUAAGAUCAAUGCCCGAUGUUAUUAGGAUAUCACAUGAUGUUUUAAUUAAAGAUUUAUCGGUAUGAGAUGGCGAUGCGUCCCAUUAGUUUGUUGGCGGGGUAACGGCCCACCAAGACAUCGAUGGGUAGGGGUUCUGAGAGGAAGGUCCCCCACAUUGGAACUGAGACACGGUCCAAACUCCUACGGGAGGCAGCAGUGAGGAAUAUUGGUCAAUGGACGCAAGUCUGAACCAGCCAAGUAGCGUGCAGGAAGACGGCCCUCUGGGUUGUAAACUGCUUUUAGUUGGGAAUAAAGUGCAUCACGUGUGAUGUUUUGUAUGUACCAUCAGAAAAAGGACCGGCUAAUUCCGUGCCAGCAGCCGCGGUAAUACGGAAGGUUCAGGCGUUAUCCGGAUUUAUUGGGUUUAAAGGGAGCGCAGGCGGACCUUUAAGUCAGCUGUGAAAUACGGCGGCUCAACCGUCGAACUGCAGUUGAUACUGGAGGUCUUGAGUGCACACAGGGAUACUGGAAUUCAUGGUGUAGCGGUGAAAUGCUCAGAUAUCAUGAAGAACUCCGAUCGCGAAGGCAGGUAUCCGGGGUGCAACUGACGCUGAGGCUCGAAAGUGCGGGUAUCAAACAGGAUUAGGUACCCUGGUAGUCCGCACAGUAAACGAUGAAUACUCGCGAUUUGCGAUACACAGUAAGUCGCCAAGCGAAAGCGUUAAGUAUUCCACCUGGGGAGUACGCCGGCAACGGUGCAACUCAAAGGAAUUGACGGA
rnacentral:rRNA from 2 species